rnacentral:rRNA from 1 species
AAGCCUGAUGCAGCCAUGCCGCGUGCAUGAAGAAGGCCUUCGGGUUGUAAAGUACUUUCAGCAGUGAGGAAGGGUGUGAAGUUAAUAGCUUCAUAYCUUGACGUUAGCUGCAGAAGAAGCACCGGCUAACUCCGUGCCAGCAGCCGCGGUAAUACGGAGGGUGCGAGCGUUAAU